rnacentral:rRNA from 1 species
UUGAACUGAAGAGUUUGAUCAUGGCUCAGAUUGAACGCUGGCGGCAGGCCUAACACAUGCAAGUCGAGCGGCAGCACGGGUACUUGUACCUGGUGGCGAGCGGCGGACGGGUGAGUA